rnacentral:rRNA from 1 species
UACGGAAGGCAGCAGUGGGGAAUAUUGCACAAUGGGCGAAAGCCUGAUGCAGCUAUGCCGCGUGUAUGAAGAAGGCCUUAGGGUUGUAAAGUACUUUCAUCGGGGAGGAAAAAACAAAACUAAUAAUUUUAUUUCUUGACGUUACCCGAAAAAGAAGCACCGGCUAACUCCGUGCCAGCAGCCGCGGUAAUACGGAGGGUGCUAGCGUUAAUCAGAAUUACUGGGCGUAAAGAGCACGUAGGUGGUUUUUUUAAGUCAGAUGUGAAAUCCCUGGGCUUAACCUAGGAACUGCAUUUUGAAACUGAAAUACUAGAGUAUCGUAGAGGGAGGUAGAAUUCUAGGUGUAGCGGUGAAAUGCGUAGAUAUCUGGAGGAAUACCUGUGGCGAAAGCGGCCUCCUAAACGAAUACUGACACUGAGGUGCGAAAGCGUGGGGAGCAAACAGGGAUUAGGAUA